AUACGGAGGACGCGAGCGUUAUCCGGAUUCAUUGGGUUUAAAGGGUGCGCAGGCGGCCGUGCAAGUCAGCGGUGAAAGCCCGGGGCCCAACCCCGGAAGUGCCGUUGAUACUGCAUGGCUUGAAUGCGGUCGAGGCGGGCGGGACGUGGCGGGGAGCGGUGAAAUGCGUAGAUGGGCCACAGAACGCCGAUAGCGGAGGCAGCUCGCCAGGCCUGCAUUGACGCUCGGGCACGAAAGCGUGGGGAUCGAACAGGAUUAGAUACCCGGGUAGUCCACGCCGUAAACGAUGGGCGCUCGUCGUCGGCGGCAGACAGUCGGCGGCCAAGCGAAAGCGAUAAGCGCCCCACCUGGGGAGUACGGUCGCAAGGCUGAAACUCAAAUGAAUUGGCGGG
rnacentral:rRNA from 1 species